AGCUAAUAUUAACUAUUUUUUUGAAUUAUGGGUUUUGCUUUAUGUUGUUGAUAAUCUUUUAAGUGUAUUUACCAUCUUAUUUUAAGUUCCUGAUUCAUCUUUUUCACUACUCUGUGUGAUAGUGUAUGGUGUUCAAUUUGUUAUCUGUGUUUCACAGCGGUUUUAGUCUUUCGGUGUCUAAUUCUGUGGGUCUGUGAGCUCAGGUCUCCAUGAAGACAACAGCCGUUUGUGAGGUAAUAUGUAACGGGAGAGAGAGGAGUCAGGCCCUGACGGUCUGUGUCCUCCCAGGUCCAGCCUGGAUCUGGUGAAGAAGCACUGUGGCUCUCCCUGUUUGCAGUUACUCUAUCAGCCAGCUUUUAGGAAAAGCACAGCUGGGUGUAAUCUGUGUUUGCAAUCCACCAGCUGAGAGGUGGGGCAGAGGUGGCAAGAAUGGAGGAGUGAAUACCCCAAAGCUCACACCUAGUUUUAUCUGUUCCGUGACCUACACGGUACUAGUGCUGCUCUGAUUCCUGGUCCUGUGUGAAGGGGAGGCAAAGAUGGACCCAAAGAAGUGAAGGAGAAACUGGAAGCUUUAUUUCUGGUUCUCCAAGGACAGAGUGGCAGGUGACACUCAACAGCUCACAAACUUCCUGAUCCCCAGUGUCCUGCCCGUGUGGCCCGGACUAAUGGACUGCCAUGCUCGUGCCUGGUGCCGAGUGGGGUAAUGAGUGGGAAUUCUGAUCUGUCUAUGCUCCAGGGAUAGGAGAGAACGGGAACUUGGAGAUUCAUGACGUAAGGUGUGUGGUACUGAGUAGGAGAGAGACAUGUUUGUGUUGAGCACUUUGUACUCCAUUGAGCCCUUACUGGACGCACUUUCAGGAGGGUUUUAGUUCACAGAAUCCAGGAGAAGUGCUUCCAGCUGGGGCCUCCAGGAGGUGGUUAGGUCGUGGGGGUGGAGCCCCCCUGAAUGGGAUUAGUGUCCUUGUAACAGAGACCCCACAGAGAUCCUCUGCCCCCUGCACUGUUUCAGGAGCCCAUGAGAAGGCACCACUGUGAACUGGGAAGGGGUCUCUCACCAGGAGACCAUGCUGGCACCUUGACUUGGACUUUUCAGUCUCAGGAACUGUGGGAAAUAAAUUUCUGUCUACAGGCUGCUCUGUCUCUGGUGUUUUGUUAUAGCAGCUCAAAUGUACAAAAAGCUUUGCCGGUUAAAAGGAGUAGACAGAGUUCUCCAGAGGCUACAAUGACUUCUGAUUACAUCAUUUCUCUAACAGUGAAUGAAUUGGGUGCUGUAUAUUGUAUUUACUAGGAUGUUCUAAGGUAGUGAGUUUAGUAUGUAAAAAUGUACACUUUCAGAAAUGAACUCUGUUCUCAGUAUUUCUAAUGUGCUCCAACCAGCUCUCUUCAGUUACAUCUGCUUUAAUCUCUAUAAUCUCAUUAUCUUUCAAGAAAUCAUUAUUUUUAAAUCCCAGUGUUUUUCCUGCUUUGAUACAGAAUUAAGUUUACCUUGUUUUACAAUAUCAAGAUAUUUUUCAAAAACAUUGUUAUUUUAUAUUCAAAAUUUUAUAUGAAUUGUAUUAUUUUAGGAUUGUUUUAUUCUAAAAUAAAAGAAAAAAUUUUUAUAAUCCAUUUUUCUUAUGUAUAAGGAUGGAUUGUUGGUUUUAAAAAGGAGGUUAGAAGACCAGUUUCUCAACCUAUGUCUAUGUUGCCUGUGUCUGAAAAACAUGAAACUGAUCAGCAAGUUCUCUAAUUCAUGGAAAGGAAGAAUAUAUUUCAAAGAAACUGGGGAAACUUGUAAAUAUGAAAAAGAAUGUCAAAAGGUAUC